GGCAGCGGUGGCUUAGUGGUUAAGGCUUUGGGUCAUUGAUUGGAAGGUCAGGGGUUCAAGUCCCAGCAAUGCCA